rnacentral:rRNA from 1 species
AGGAUUCCCCUAGUAACGGCGAGUGAAGCGGGAAGAGCUCAAAUUUAAAAUCUGGCGGUCUUUGGCUGUCCGAGUUGUAUUCUAGAGAAGUGUUUUCCGCGCUGGACCGUGUACAAGUCUCUUGGAACAGAGCGUCAUAGAGGGUGAGAAUCCCGUCUUUGACACGGACUACCAGUGCUUUGUGAUGCGCUCUCAAAGAGUCGAGUUGUUUGGGAAUGCAGCUCAAAAUGGGUGGUAAAUUCCAUCUAAAGCUAAAUAUUGGCGAGAGACCGAUAGCGAACAAGUACCGUGAGGGAAAGAUGAAAAGCACUUUGGAAAGAGAGUUAAACAGUACGUGAAAUUGCUGAAAGGGAAACGCUUGAAGUCAGUCGCGUUAGCUAGAACUCAGCCUUGCUUUUGCCUGGUGCAUUUUCUAGUUGACGGGCCAGCAUCAGUUUUGAUUGCAGGAUAAAGGUCAGAGGAAUGUGGCACCUUCGGGUGUGUUAUAGCCUUUGAUUGUAUACUGUGGUUGGGACUGAGGAUCACAGCACGCCUUUAUGGCCGGGGUUCGCCCACGUUCGUGCUUAGGAUGCUGGCGUAAUGGCUUUAAACGACCCGUCUUGAAACACGGACCAAGGAGUCUAACAUACCUGCGAGUAUUUGGGUGGUAAACCCGAGUGCGUAAUGAAAGUGAAAGUUGGGAUCCCUGUCGUGGGGAGCACCGACGCCCGGACCAGACCUUCUGUGACGGCUCCGCGGUAGAGCAUGUAUGCUGGGACCCGAAAGAUGGUGAACUAUGCCUGAAUAGGGUGAAGCCAGAGGAAACUCUGGUGGAGGCUCGUAGCGAUUCUGACGUGCAAAUCGAUCGUCAAAUUUGGGUAUAGGGGCGAAAGACUAAUCG